rnacentral:rRNA from 1 species
UACGAAGGGGGCUAGCGUUGUUCGGAAUUACUGGGCGUAAAGGGCGCGUAGGCGGCUUCGCUAGUCGGGCGUGAAAUGCCUGGGCUUAACCCGGGAAUUGCGUUCGAUACUUCGAGGCUAGAGUGUGGGAGAGGUUGGUGGAAUUCCCGGUGUAGAGGUGAAAUUCGUAGAUAUUGGGAAGAACACCGGUGGCGAAGGCGGCCAACUGGACCACAACUGACGCUGAGGCGCGGAAGCGUGGGGAGCAAACAGG